ACGGGGUGCAGCAGGCGCGAAACCUCUGCAAUGCACGAAAGUGUGACAGGGGGAUUCCACGUGCAAGCUUUGCUUGCUUUUCUCAAGUCCAAAACGCUUGGGGAAUAAGAGCUGGGCAAGACCCGUGCCAGCCGCCGCGGUAACACGGGCAGCUCGAGUAGCGUUCGCGUAUAUUGGGCCUAAAGCGUACGUAGCCGGUUAAACAAGUUCCUGGUGAAAGCAUGCGGCUUAAUCGUGUGAAUUGCCAGGAAAACUGUUUGACUUGGGACCGGGAUGGGUCGGAGGUAUUCCCGGGGUAGGGGUAAAAUCCUGUAAUCCCGGGAGGACCAUCGGUGGCGAAGGCGUCCGACUGGAACGGGUCCGACGGUGAGGUACGAAAGCUAGGGGAGCAACCCGGAUUAGAUACCCGGUUAGUCCUAGCCGUAAAUGAUGCGUGUUUGGUAUUGCCCUCCUUACGAGGGAUGGCAGUGCCGUAGGGAAGCCGUUAAACACGCCGCCUGGGGAGUACGGCCGCAAGGCUGAAACUUAAAGGAAUUGGCGGGGGAGUACUACAACGGGUGGAGGCUGCGGUUUAAUUGGAUACAACGCCGGACAACUCACCAGGGAUGACAGCACUAUGAUGGUCAGCCUAAAGGGCUUACUUGAGGCGCUGAGAAGUGGUGCAUGGCCAUCGCCAGCUCGUGCAGUGAUGUGUCCUGUUAAGUCAGGCAACGAGCGAGACCCGCACCUCCAGUUGCUA
rnacentral:rRNA from 1 species